rnacentral:lncRNA from 1 species
AUGGGCAGCGUUUCUUGCACUAAAUCCCAACCCCGAUCCCGCCGCCGGUGCCGCUUCUCCCUAAAGAAUCCCAAAUCCCAGCGGGACAUUCCCGGCUCCAGCUCCGAAUUCCCUGGAAUUCUGCGCAAUGAGGGGACACGGGGAGGGACAGUGGGGGAGGGGGUGGGAGCCGCUUCGCUGCUGCCGCGGGAAGGAAUUCCGGGAUUCCCGGGAUCGGCUUUUCCAGGGGGAUCCCUGCUGGGAAUGCGCUCCCUCCUCUCCCUGCUUCGCUUCGCGGGUUGGUGGCACCUGGGGACAUCCAUUCCCAAAGGGAAAAAUCUGGGAAAAGAGGAAAACAAACUGGGAAAAGGGAGGGGGGUGGGGUGGUCCCAAGUCUCCCCCUGUUCCCUCUUCCCAAAAAUCAGGUUGGAAUUUUUUGGGGGUUCUCCCCCCCCCCUCCUCUUUCGAAGAAUCCAUGGAAUUUCAAAGAAUCCAUGGAAUUUGGGGGUUUGGGGUUUUUUUUUUGGGAAGCAGGAUCCCAAAUCGAAGCCAUUUUCCAGAGCAAUAAGGGCGGGAAAAUCCGGGAUUUCCCCGUGGGAUCGGGGAGGGAGAUCUGGGAACGUGAGAUGGAGAUUUGGGAAUUGGGAAUGGAAUUUGGGAAGGUGGGGAUGGAACUUUGGGGUUGGGGAUGGGGAUUUGGGAAGGAGAUCUGGGAAUUUGGGACGGAUAUUUGGGAACGUGGGUGCAGGAGGAUCCCAAUCCCCCCCACCUGCCCUGGAACAUCCCGGAGAGCAAAUCCCGGGAAAAGGAGCCCUGGGAGCGUUGGGAAUUCCGGGAAACCGAGACCCCAAAAUUCCAGGAGACUCCGGCUCCUCUUCCCUCCCUCUUCCCAAGGGAUUUUCCCGCUCUGCCCAUCCCAAAAAAACCCCGGGAAUGGCUUUGAUCCCAUUUCCCUCUGGAGCGGAGAAUUCCCAGAGGGAAAAGCUCCAAAUCCGGGGAAUUUUUUAUCCCUUUCCCAAAAAAAAUCUCUGGAAUUUCGGAGGAGGGAAAAAUUCGGGAAUGGUUUUUCCUUUUUUUCCUUGGAGUGGGAAUUCUGUGGGAAUUCCAGGAAAGGGGGGGAGGGGGGGUUUAAUUUAUUUCUUUUUAAUUUAUUUUUGUAAAAUCUGCAAUAAAAAAAAUUUAUUUCGACAGCUAAUCUGCAUCUUAUUUGCAUUUUUUGAAUAUUCUAAUCAGACCCCAGGAGCCACAGCAGCAUUCCCGACCUCUGGAAAAUGGGAUCCAAAUAUUCCCAAGAGCCAGGAAAGGAUGGAAAAAUCCGAUUAA